rnacentral:rRNA from 1 species
AGAGCUUGAUCCUGGCUCAGAGCGAACGUUAGCGGCAGGCCUAACACAUGCAAGUCGCGUGAGAAUCCGGCUUCGGUCGGUAGUAAAGCGGCGGACGGGUGAGUAAUACGUGGAUAAUCUGCCCUUCGGCGGGGGAUAACAGUCCGAAAGGAUUGUUAAUACCGCAUAUGUCGGCGAGGUCUUUGGAUCUUGCCGGGAAAGAUGGCUUCUUUAUGAAAGCUAUCACCGAAGGAUGAGUCCGCGUCCCAUUAGCUAGUUGGUGGGGUAAUGGCCCAUUAAGGCUUAGACGGGUAGCUGGUCUGAGAGGAUGAUCAGCCACAUUGGAACUGAGAUAUGGUCCAGACUCCUAUGGGAGGCAGCAGUGGGGAAUAUUGGGCAAUGGGCGUAAGCCUGACCCAGCCAUGCCGCGUGAGUGAUGAAGGCCUUCGGGUCGUAAAGCUCUGAGGGGAGGGAAGAAAUACCUUGUGGCUAAUAUCCACGAGGUUUGACGGUACCUCCUUAGCAAGCACCGGCUAACUCCGUGCCAGCAGUUGCGGUAAUAUGGAGGGUGCAAACGUUGCUCGGAAUCAUUGGGCGUAAAGCGCACGUAGGCGGCGCGUUAAGUUGGAUGUGAAAGUCCUCGGUUUAAUUGAGGAAGUGCAUACAAAACUGGCGCGCUUGAAUAUGGAAGAGGGUCGCGGAAUUCCCGGUGUAGAGGUGAAAUUUGUAGAUAUCGGGAGGAACACUAGUGGUGAAGGCGGUGACCUGGGUUAAUAUUGACGCUGAGGUGCGAAAGCGUGGGGAGUAAACAGGAUUAGAUAUCCUGGUAGUCCACGCCGUAAAUGAUGGAUGCUAGGUGUUGUGGGUAUUGAUUCCUGCAGCGCCGUAGUUAAUGUAUUAAGCAUCCCGCCUGGGGAGUAUGGCCGUAAGGCUAAAACUCAAAGGAAUUGACGGGGGCCCGCACAAGCGGUGGAGCAUGUGGUUUAAUUCGACGCAAUGCGCAGAACCUUACCUGGGUUAAAUCCGCCCGAAUCCUGCAGAGAUGUGGGAGUGCUCUUUGGAGAAUGGGCGAGAAGGUGCUGUAUGGCUGUCGUCAGCUCGUGUUGUGAGAUGUUGGGUUAAGUCCCGCAACGAGCGUAACCCCUGUCUUUAGUUGCUAAUGGUUUGGUCGAGCAUUCUAGAGAGACUGCCGACGUUAAGUCGGAGGAAGGUGGGGAUGACGUCAAGUCCUCAUGGCCCUUAUGCCCAGGGCUACACACGUGCUACAAUGGCCGGUACAAAGGGUUGCUAAACCGUAAGGUCACGUCAAUUCCAAAAAACCGGUCUCAGUUCGGAUUGAGGUCUGUAAUUUGACCUCAUGAAGUCGGAAUCGCUAGUAAUCGCGGAUUAGUACGCCGCGGUGAAUACGUUCCCGGGCCUUGUAUAUAUUGCCCGUCACACCAUGGGAGUCAGUUGCUCCAGAAAUGGGUUACCUAACCGUAAGGGGGGUGCUCUUUAAGGAGUGACUGGUAACUGGGGUGAAGUCGUAACAAGGUA